ACUCAAAUGAAUUGACGGGGGCCCGCACAAGCGGUGGAGCAUGUGGUUCAAUUCGACGCAACGCGAAGAACCUUACCGGGGUUUGAACCGCACGGGACAGCUGCAGAGAUGCAGUCUUCCUUCGGGACCCGUGUAGAGGUGCUGCAUGGCUGUCGUCAGCUCGUGUCGUGAGAUGUUGGGUUAAGUCCCGCAACGAGCGCAACCCUUGCCUCCUGUUGCUAACGAGUAAGGUCGAGCACUCUGGAGGAACUGCCGGCGAUAAGCCGGAGGAAGGUGGGGAUGACGUCAAGUCCUCAUGGCCUUUAUGCCCCGGGCUACACACGUGCUACAAUGGCUGGUACAAAGGGUCGCAAAGCCGCGAGGUGGAGCUAAUCCCAGAAAGCCAGUCCCAGUUCGGAUUGCAGUCUGCAACUCGACUGCAUGAAGUUGGAAUCGCUAGUAAUCGCGGAUCAGCACGCCGCGGUGAAUACGUUCCCGGGCCUUGUACACACCGCCCGU
rnacentral:rRNA from 1 species